AAAAGAGCGGGGUAGAAAGGGAGCUAGUGUGCGCGUGUGUGUGUACGCGCCGAGGGAGGAGUCAGACGAAGGAAAGGGCAGCUGGAGUUGCACACUCCACAUAAAGUAGCCACAACGCUCGAAACCACACUCUUUGUUGGCAUAAAGCUUUAGGAAUCUCUCUCUCUCUCUCUCUCUCUCUCUCUCACUGUGUGCGUGCGCGCGCUUGCUUUGGUUUUUAAUGUUCUGGCAGGCAUGUAGAGAAAGUUGCAAACGUUAGUGCGUCCCGGAGAAGAAAAGGGGGAGAGGACCAAGACAAGAAAAGUCGGUUAACUCCUGUCCAGUUCAGGCGGAAAGCUUCGAGAGCAGCAAAUUUCCGACAAGCAAGAAAAAAGUGAAGCGGAAAGUUCGGAAAAGUUAAAACAUUUUCGACAGGGGAAAAACCGCAUUCGGAACCAAUAAUUCACCUACCGCAGACCCAGCGGAAGUUACCCAAGUCCAGGCUGCAUUUGCACACCAAAGCAACGUGCUAAAGGGCUAUGAAGACCAGUUGUGCGACCUGUGAGCUGCUAACGAACAUUUAACCCACUACGUCUGCUCUCUGUUGGCCCAUCCAGCUUUAACGGUAAGCUUUGGACUUCCUGAAAAAUUCGAUGGGUCUGCUGACAAAUGCCGGGGCUUGUUGUGUCAGUGUAUGAUUUAUUUCUCCAGCGAAAUCUAAUCGUUUAGUCAAGACGCCAAAAAGUGUGUUUUCAUGAUGUCACGGCCUACCAUGAAAAGUACUCGACUGGGCCUCCGCUGUCUGGGAUAAAGACCCUACCACCCAAACCUUGUUUGGUUACUUCACUCAACAGAUCCGUUAGGUGUUUGAAUAUCCAGUGGGGUGUCAGGAAAUUUCUAUCCAGCUGCUGCAUUUACGCCAGGGCCAGUGAUCAGCAGCGGAUUACACAAUCCAGUUUAGGAUGCUAAGGGCUCAAAGCGGGUUGAAUGAUGUGGCACUAAAGACUGUUUUCCCUGAGGGCCUGAACCACGAAAUCAAGACAGAACUUGCAUGCAAGGGGGGGGGAUCCAACCUCCUGAGUUUAUCACCAUGGCAAUCAUGAUGGACAAACUGCUCCGAAAUGGUCCAUGACCCAGGACUCGCACCAACCCACAGCCAUCAGCUUCAACACCAUCGCAC
ensembl:lncRNA